UAGACAUAAAAAAACCCUUCCUCACCCCUUAAAAGAGGCGCCAUUUCCAUCAGCUCUAGGCAGCUCCCCCCCUUCUUCUUUCUCUUGAUUUUCCUAAAAAAACAAGAGGGGCUCCCCAUAUCUCCCUCAAAACCAGAUCCUUAUUUCUUUGGAAAAUCGAUUUCAGCCAAAAAUGGCUGCUUCAAGAAAUUCUACUCCCUCCAACUAAAAAAGAAACGCUACUAGCUUUCCCCUUCUCCAAACAAACGGUUGAAACAAAGCUAAGGUUUCAAAUGAAGAUCUGAAAACACAAAGCUGAAAAAACAAAAGAAGAACUGAGAUUUCUAAAAGAAGAUUGAAGAAAAAUUAAUUUUGAAAUUCAACUCCUCCUUUUAUGGUUUGUACGAGUUGUGGAAGUCGAUUUCAUGGGUCUGAAAUUCUGCUGCUCUACUGCUGAUUCACUGCAUUGCUGAGCUCCGAUUUCUGAUGUCGGCCUUUACUCGGCUGUUUUCCCUUUUCUAAUUUGAACCUUGUGCAGUUAGGAUAACGAUUAAAAAAUAUAUCAGAGGUUGUAUUAAGGAUAUGUUAAAAAAAGGGCAUCCCGACGAACUAAGCUUCCGCUAUGUGCAAGGUGGGGGAAGGACAGAACCACAAAGGUCUAUUGUAUGCAGUGUUAGCCUGCAUUUCUGCAAGAGGUUGUUUCCACGGCUUGAACCUGUGACUUUCUUGUCACAUGGCAGCAACUUUACCAGUAUUAAGGAUAUGUAUUAAUGCUAAUAUUUGUUUAAUUUAAUUUCAAAUUUGUAGCUCAAUCGAAUUUUUAGAAUAUUUAUACAUAAAUUUAUUACUAUAAAUAUAUAAUAUGCGAAUAUUGAUAUGGGAUACACGUGCAACGCACGUGCCCAGAUACUAGUAUUGAUAAAAAGGGAGAAACUCCAGAAUUUUCAGCUUCAUAUUUCAUGGUCUAGUACUUUCUUGGCUCAACCAUGGUAUGUGCCUUUUGGUUGCUAUCGUAUUAAUUUUUCUCUCUAAAUAAAUACAUAUUAUGUCAAACUUAAGAUGAAUAGUUGAGGAUAUUACUAGAAUUAAAGUUGUCCUGCGUGCUUUGACUUUUUGUUUCCUUGUAAUGCAAUUCUGCAUGAUUAAUUUGCCUAUCUAGUUGUAAAAUUUCUCCUUUGAGUUGCUUAGAAUUCUUUUUAACCAAGAACAAAUGCUUCUACAAAAUGGGUUUGAAUUGAGUUCUCUA